GGAGAGGUGGGCGAGUGGUCUAAGUCAGGGCUCUCUUGAGGUCAUAUGCUAUAAGUGUAUCGUAGGUUCGAAUCCUACCCUCUCCGCCA
rnacentral:tRNA from 1 species